GACAGAGGUGGCAAGCGUUGUUCGGAUUUAUUGGGUGUAAAGGGCAGGUAGGUGGCUAUGUAAGUCUGGUGUGAAAGCCCAGGGCUCAACCCUGGAACUGCAUUGGAAACUACAUGGCUUGAGUAUCGGAGAGGUGAGGGGAAUUCUCGGUGUAAGGGUGAAAUCUGUAGAUAUCGAGAGGAACACCAGUGGCGAAGGCGGGUUGCUGGGCUGAUACUGACGCUGAGGCGCGAAAGCCAGGGGAGCGAACGGG
rnacentral:rRNA from 1 species